GACGAACGCUGGCGGCGUGCUUAACACAUGCAAGUCGAACGAUGAACCCGGAGCUUGCUCCGGUGGAUUAGUGGCGAACGGGUGAGUAACACGUGAGUAACCUGCCCUUGACUCUGGGAUAACUGCGGGAAACUGUAGCUAAUACCGGAUACGACCCUCGGCGGCAUCGCCAGGGGGUGGAAAGAAUUUCGGUCAAGGAUGGACUCGCGGCCUAUGAGCUAGUUGGUGAGGUAACGGCUCACCAAGGCGACGACGGGUAGCCGGCCUGAGAGGGUGACCGGCCAACCGGGGACUGGGAAACGGCCGAGAGUCCGACGGGAGGAAGCAGUGGGGAAUAUUGCACAAUGGGCGCAAGCCUGAUGCAGCAACGCGGCGUGAGGGAUGACGGCCUUCGGGUUGUAAACCUCUUUUAGUAGGGAAGAAGCGAAAGUGACGGUACCUGCAGAAAAAGCACCGGCUAACUACGUGCCAGCAGCAGCCGCCG
rnacentral:rRNA from 1 species